AGUGCCAACAUCAAGACAUCAUGAAUUUAAGGCUAUGAUAACUUACCUACAAUAGUUAUGUGGUGAGUAGAGUCGGACUGCGCAUUGAGUAGUCCAUCCAUGGUCAUUAUUUGACAAUGGCCAAGGACCUUAUGAGUUCAAGAUGACCAUGCAUGAGGAACUGCAGGUGGAUUUGAUCCAACAAUCCCUUAAUGGUUCGUUUAGUCAGUUUAGAGUAAACUACCAUAUGAACAAGUAUGAUAGUGUA
rnacentral:lncRNA from 1 species